UUAGAUUCCAUAGAAACUGAUCCCCCUCUACACAAUCAAUCACAUCCUUUAGUUCGAGAAAUUAAUUUCGUCUUGAUGAUUUCGUUCCAGCUCCCUUUGUUCCUCCUUUAUAUACCGAUCUAUUUUCAAGAACGAAUUGUAAUCGUUGUUUGAAAAAAAAAAUCAUUGGGAAAGCCUUCCUCAAUUUUUGGUUGUGGUGAAGCCUUUUUAGUGAAAGGUUUGCACUGUUUUCCAAUUUAUAUUUUGUGACUUAAAGAAUUAUGGCUUCCAAUCUCCCGGCCCUCGAUUGGAACAUGUUCAUGGCGAUGUACAUGACCAUUUGCAAGCCCUCACGAAUGGUUUCCAGAGGUUGGAGUUACUAUACAACAAUUUCUCGAACAAAAAACAGCUCACUGGAGUAGAAGAAUGCGGAUACUAAAUGCCAGUGUAGCCACAGGUAAUCUCCACUGGAAAAUAGUCAUGUUUACAUCAACAAGAUGAAUCAGGGUAAAAAGAGAAAUCAGAAACAGAACUAUAGCUGAUAUAAAAACACAUUCGUUAUGACAACAGUGAUGAUAAUGAAGUUAUGGGAUCCACAUUCGUCUUUUACUCGAGCAUCCUCUUUGAGAAACGCCAAAUGAAAGACUGUAAAAGGUAUGUCUUGGCUUUGUCAUCUAGGCAUUUAGUGUUAGUUUAUUUUGUGAUAACGAGAUUUUUUUGUUAGGAUCAUCUAUAUAAUGUACACACAUGUUGGUGACUAAGUUUGCAACAUCUUAGGAACAAUGAAAUAGCCGAUUUCCAGUGGAAAAAGGUUGAAGAACCAAAAGAGUUCACACUUGAGCUGUUCUUUGAGGCUUAUUGCACUGAAGAACAAUGAGAUUGCCGGUCUGGAGGUUCGUUAUUAGGAUAUGUUCUUAAAGAAAAUGUUACUCUCUUUCUAGAUGGAUUUCCAAUGAUUAUACUAAAUAUAAGCAAGAUGAAUGAACUCGCAAGUAUCUCAAAGAUAUCAAAUUGAAUAGGUUUAAAGAACCAAAAAGAUUCACGCUUGAUCUUUUCUUUGAUUAGAACCCUUACUACCAUAACACUGUCUUCACCAAGACAUCUCACAUGAUUGAUAAAGAUAAUCUUAUCCUCGAGAUGGCCAUUGGGUAUGAUCUUUUCCUCUUACGAUGUAUUUAUUGUUUUUAUUUCUUGAGGCCAAGUGUUAUUGAUCCAUACCUUUUGUAUCUUAUAUGAUAUAUGUAAAAAAUCGAUUGUCUACUUAUAAAACAGGUCCAGGAGUAACAAGAGAAGCUGGAGUAUGAUGAAAGGAAGCCAAAAGGAGAGGAGAGAUUCAUCACGAGUGUGUUGUAUAUAUACCCUAUGUAUCUCAGUUUUUUCGCCAGACCAAUAGUGACUGAAUUUAUUGUCAUUCGUGAUAAUGACCAACAGAUAAAAGAAAAUAAUGACCUCUCCAACAACAGGUCGUGUUUUUUUAUUUUCACUCGUGAUAUAAAUAUAAAGUUUUGGCCU